GUGGUAUUAACACUUUUCUCUUAAAAAAGGAUAUACUUUAAGCAAAUCAUGUCUUCAUUGAAUAAGAUAAACUAUGAAUAAGAUAUUAAAAUAUAUUUCACAUGUUGUUUUUCAGUGAAAACAAGUUGGAUUUCUAGUACCCCGAGCCCUUUGUGAUGUUUUCUAUCAUUUGUUUGCCUAAAUUAUAAUAUAAUUCUUCUAAGGCUAUCAUUUUUAGUCAUACAACCAUGGAGAAAGCUACUGGGUGAUUUUUUUUUUAUUUUGCAGAUCAAUAUUUAAAUAAUAUACUUAUUGAAAUAUUAUACAUAGUACAAAAUAUAAUAGUUCUUAUCAUAGUUGUAACUCAAGAUAGCAUUUAGCAGUAAAAUGAUAGUCAUAUUUUAUUUGCUAUAGCUUUACUAAAUGUUUUAUUAUGAUGAGAAAGUAAUGCAGGGAUUGAAUGACAUGGAAUUUCUCUGCAUCCAUUAUUGGCAUUAAAAUCAAAUAAGUCACAAUUGCAGAAUAUAAAUCAGAAUCGUGUCAGACUUGCUAUCAAAAUAGAGAACACCCAAAACCCACAGUGAGUAAGCUGGAGUUAUCUUGUUCAAAAAAAAAAAAAGUCCUUUGUAUAAUUUUAAAUGACAUUUUAAUCACCUUUGAUUUAUUAUUCCUCUCAUCUAUGUCAGGAUCUUCUGGCCUUAACUGGAAUGAAAACAUACGAUGUGAAACAAGUGUUGCCAAAACGCCACCUCUGUCCACCCGGUGCCAAGCAGAGUUUUGGGUGAAGGAGAAACAAACAAACAAAACAGCUUUAUUGCUUUGCCAGGCAAGUGAGGCCACAGCAGGCUAAAGCCCUAAAGACUCUGCCCUCUUUGGAGAGAGAAUAGGAGGUGGUUUUAUAGUUUGCGGAGUGGAAAGGCCCACGGAUAAGAAUCAGCGUAGAUGCAGGCUUGGCGUCUUCUUCAAACCUGGUGUUUAGCGGACCUGGAUCUGGCUCUUGUGGGCCUCCUCCUUUCUGGAGUGAAGAAGGCUUCAUAACACUUUGCUUCUGCUGGGGGGCUUAGUUCUGCAGAAGAACUCAAAGAUAAUGGGAGUUCCCAUUGUGGCUCAGAGGUAAGGAGCCCAACUAGUAUCCAUGAGGACAUGGGUUCCUCCCUGGCCUUGCUCAGCAUUGCUGUGAGCUGUGCUGUAGGUUGAAGAGGAGGCUUGAAUUCCGCAUUGCUGUGGGUGUGGUCAAGGCUGGCAGCUGUAGCUCCCUUUUGACCUCUGGCAGGAGAACUUCCAUUUGCCCCAGGUGCAGCCCUAAAAACCGAAACAUAAAAAAAUUAAAAAGCUAUUGUUAUGUAUAUUCCUUGAGGAGGAACCAGGACCCUGCCCCAAGGCUGCUCUAUUGUUUCUUGACUGGUUCCUCCCUUGUCUCUGCAUCCCCUCCCUUCCCUGAUUAGCAACUGUUUGAACCUGCCCUUCCGAGCUCAGAGAAGGCCUUGGAGGCUAAAUGAGGCCUAUUUCCUAACAACAGAAAUGUGUACACAAAGGCUUCUGUGCCCAGGGGCCCCAAAGGGCCCUGCUCACUUUAACACACAGUUGCAGACGUGUAUUAUAUGAUCAAGGCCUGAGCUGGUCCUGAGCUCCUGCUUCUAGGAGACAUGUAAUGGUGUGGCCCAGGAGGGCCUUGGCCUGGCAAAGUCUGUUUUUUUGUAUAUUCUCAAUUUUAGAAAGAAAGGUUUUGAACCUUCAUACCUACAACAGAUAAUAAAGAGGGAAACGACUGUGUGUAGACAAUGCAGCUACUAUUCCAAGAGAAUACAGGUUGGGAGGAUUCAAUUUUAUGAGACUGAUCACACGGCCAUAGGCAGUAUUUGAAAUCACAGAUUGGAAGCUAGGAUUCUAAAUAAAUCAACUGAUAAAAAUCUAUUAACAACAUGGUGUUUUCAAAAAAAUCACAAAGGUUUAAAGCAGAGCACACACUAAGGGUUUCAGAACUGGAAAAUGGUGGAACAAAACAAUGUAGGACUGAAGUUAAUCCAUUCAAGGAUACAAACACAUUCCUUAUCACACUGGUUCAAAGUCUUUGACCUUCCUUUACCAAAGAACCCGAGUCCUACAUCAGACCCAUUGCAUAUUCUAUUUUUAAUUUAAUUUUUAUUGUAUAAUGGAGUGUAACUGAUUUACAAUUUUGUAUUAGCUUCAGGUGUAUAGCACGGUGAUUUCAGUUAUAUGUAUACAGAUAUCCACUCUUUUUUUGAUUCUUUUCCCAUAGGGGUUAUCACAAAAUGAGUUGAGCUCCAUGUGCAGUAUGGUAGGUCCUUGUUGAUUAUCUAUUUCCUACCUAGUAGUGUGUAUUGUCAAUCCCAAACUCCUAACAUAUCCCUUCCCAUUCACCCUUCCUCCCCUUUGGUAACCAUAUGUCUGUUUUCUAAGUCGGUGAGUCUGUUUCUGUUUUGUAAAGGAGUUCACUUGUAUCACUUUCAAAAUUAGACUCCAAAUGUAAGUGAUAUGUGAUCUUUUUCUCUUUCCAGCCUAUUUCACUGAGUAUGAUCAUAUCUAGGUCUGUACAUGGUUCAUUCUCUUCAUUCUUCUUAUGGCUGAGUGAUAGUCCACUGUAUACAUGUACCCCAUCUUCUUUAUCCAUUCCUCUGUUGAUGGACGUUUGGGUUGUGCCCAUGUUUUGGCUUUAUAAAUAGUGCUGCAGUGAACACUAAGGUGGAUGUAUCAUUUCAAAUUACGAUUUUCUUUGGAUGUAUGCCCAGGAGUGGGAUUGCAGUAGCAUACCAUAGUUCUAUUUGUAGUCUUUCAAGGAACCUCCGCAUUGUUCGCCAAGACUAAUUUACAUUCCCACUAACAGUGUAGGAGGGUUCCCAUUUCUCCACAUCCUCUCCAGCAUUUAUUAUUUGUAGAUUUUUUUUUUUUUUUUUGUCUCUUGUCUUUUUAGGGCUGCACCCAUGGCAUAUGGAGGUUCCCAGGCUAGGGGUCAGAUGGGAACUGUGGCCACCGCCCUACACCACAGCCGCAGCAAUGCCAGAUCCUUAAACCACUGAGCAAGGUCAGGGACUGAAGCUGUGUCCUCAUGCACACUAGUUGGGUUUGUUAACCACUGAGCCACAAUGGGAACUCCUAUUUGUAGACUUUUGAUGAUGGCCAUUCUGACUGGUUGAGGUGAUACUUCAUUGUAGUUUUGAUUUGUGUUUCUCUUAUAAUUAGUGAUGUUGAGCAUCUUUUCAUGUGCCUUUUGGCCAUUGGAACGUCUUCUUCGGUGAAAUGUCUGCUUGGAUCUUCUGCCCAUUUUUUGAUUCUUUACAGUGCUCUACAUAAGCAUAUUUAAUAGACUGCAUACAAUUCAUCCAACAAAGGGAAGUUCAAUCAUUAUUAACAAAUUAUUGUGCUUUUGUGCCCAGGUUUAUGCCUUCCUGAAGUCUCUCGAUUGAAAAAUUCCCUCUUAGAGAAAUUCAUCCUAGAAAUAGCUGUACUGUAUAAAUUUCUUGAUUUUUAUACUGUUUUCCCAUGUUUAAUUUUAAAUUUUAUAAAAUAUGGCCACCUUUUUGUAAUGGUAACAAUGCAUAUGACUGCAGAGAUACUUAAAAGUAGUAAAGAAAAUCAGUGCAAUGGGAUAGGUGUGUCUUGGGAGCUGCGGGCAGUGGGCUUGACCUCUGGCCUGACACAGUUGGUUAGGGGUUCAGUGUUGCCACAGCUGUGGUUUACAUCACAACCACGGCUCC
rnacentral:lncRNA from 1 species